AUUGAACGCUGGCGGCAGGCCUAACACAUGCAAGUCGAACGAGUGGCGGACGGGUGAGUAAUGUGUGGGAAACUGCCUGAUGGAGGGGGAUAACUACUGGAAACGGUAGCUAAUACCGCAUACUAUCGGAUGAACCCAGAUGGGAUUAGCGAGUAGGUGGGGUAACGGCUCACCUAGGCGACGAUCGCUAGCUGGUCUGAGAGGAUGAACAGCCACACUGGAACUGAGAAACGGUCCAGACUCCUACGGGAGGCAGCAUUGGGGAAUAUUGCACAAGGGGCGCAAGCCUGAGGCAGACAUGCCGCGUGUAGGAAGAAGGCCUUCGGGUUGUAAAGUACUUUCAGCGGGGAGGCGGUACCCGAAGAAGAAGCACCGGCUAACUCCGUGCCAGCAGCCGCGUUAAUUC
rnacentral:rRNA from 1 species